rnacentral:rRNA from 1 species
AUGGUUGCAGGUGAUUUUGAUCUGAAUUUCACAUUUAUUUCAUGUGGGUGGGAAGGGUCCGAAUCAGAUGUAGGAGUUCUUCGUUCUGCUAUUAGCAAGGGGUUUCAUGUGCCAGAUGGAAAAUUUUAUCUCGUAGAUGCUGGAUAUGCAAACAUGCCUUCUUUUCUUGCACCAUAUCGAGGAGUUUGGGAUCACCUGAGUGAAUUUAGGAGGCGGCGCUCAUCUAAUACGGGCUAUGCCAACCAUAGGCAGCUGUUCAACCAUACCCAUGCAAUUCUCCGAAACCACAUCGAAAGAAGCAUUGGUGUUCUAAAAAAAUGGUUCCCUAUCUUGAAAGUGGCAAUCACUAUCCAAUAG